ACAAGUAGAUGAAUGACAGAUAAAUAAUGAAUAAGAGAUACAGUCAAAAACACGUGCACAUGCUGCAUGCUAUUUCACAUCGAUGUGUACGUAUCAGUCGCACAAGAUCUACUGAGGCCUGAAGCUCGAGAAGGUAUAGCUGCCUAUAGCGCUUGCGUUUACAUAAUUGGAGAGCGAAAUAUAUCUAUAUAGUUUCGUUAUUACGCUCAAUUUACUUAUUUCGUGAAAUGUGUUUUAAGUAUAGCACAUAUCGAUACUUCCACAUUGUUCGGUGCAUCUACAGUAACAUCUAAUUUUCAUAGUAUAAUAAAGGAAACUGAUAGCAAAUUAUUAAAUUAUUUUUUCUCUUGUCUCGUCUUAAUAAUAGUAAAGAGACAGUAGAAUUUUGUUAAAAAAGAAAAAAUUCAGUAUUUGUCGGAAAAUUGGUCGAACGUCUUUUUGACAAAGCUGCUCCGUUCGUCGCGCAGAAUGGUAUUUGUUGGCGAACGCUGUUAUAAGAUUCAUCGAAUUAUGUUUAUGGCUAUGGGAUUAUGGCCGUAUCAGAGACCAUUUAUCUUGCGAAUCCAAGCAGUUUUCUUCUCCAUUGCAUACUGCUGCGCUUUAUUUUUUCAGUUUACAGCGUUUCUAACGACAACGUGUAACACGGAUUGUAUUCUAAAAAGAUUUUCUUAUAUCUCCAUAGAUUGUGUUUAUGCUAUGAAUUACUAUUCUUUCUAUUUCAAUUCUGAAUCUAUAAAGCAAAUGUUGGAACAUAUACAGUUGGAUUGGAAAAUGUUUGAAAAUAGUGACACAAUUAAAAUAUUUGAAGAAUAUCUCUUUGUAUCGUAUGUUUUCGCAGUAUUUGGGUGUACAUUUGUGUUUAUAUGUGUAUUUGUAUUUAUGGUUAUUGAAUGUCGACCCGUCAUUCUCGAUAUUAUCAUACCGAUGAAUGAAUCCCGGCCACGUAAAGUUGAAGUUGAUAUGGAAAUUUUUGUCGAUAAAGAGCAAUAUUUCUUUUUGUAUAUUAUGGAAGAGGUGCUAUUAUUAGGGAUUGGCUUGUGUACGGUAAUUACGACUGGGACGUUCUUGGCUACGCUAGGAGAACACUGUUGUGCAACAUAUAGAAUUGCAAGUUGUUUAAUAGAAAAUACGGUGACCAUCCAUACGUUGGCAAUUCCUGUUGACCAAAAGAUACAAUUUAUGCAUCGGAGUAUUUGUCUUUCAGUUUACAUUCAUAGAAGAACGAUGGAGUUCGUCAAACGCAAAUUACUUUCGUUUAAUUUGUGGUAUUUCCCGUUAAUUUUAAUUGGUGUACUGUCAUCAAGUUGCCUCCUCUUUCGCCUAUACCUUGCUAUAAUAAAGGCCAAUGAUUGGUAUGAUAUCUUGGUGUGCUGUGUGGUUUUGUAUGCUUGUUUACUAUAUAUGUUUGUGGCAAAUUUUCUUGGACAAUCUUAUACUGAACAUAGUGUAGAACUACUAGAAUCUACGUAUAAUAGUCUUUGGUAUGUAGCACCAUUACCGAUCCAAAAAUUAUUCUUAAUUAUGCAAACAGCUAUAAAGGGCCAUAAGAUAGUGGUGGGUGGUCUUUUUACUUUGUCCAUAGAAGGAUUUUCUACGGUAAUAAAUGUUAUGGAUAUGGGAUGUAUUGAAAAUUGAUAGUAAUCAGUAAAUGUUUAUCGUCUUUACCAUGUAUAAUUUCCGACACACCAUGUAUAGUAACAUGAGUACUACCUUCAAUGCAUAUACUUAGUAAUUGAAGACACUUACUGAUACAUAUUUAAGCUUAUAACUUCGGCUGUAUCAUAUUUUACUGUUAUACACGCUAUGUAUUUGUGAUCAUGAAAUGAUGACGAAAUAGUGAAGUAGAUGUAAUUAGUGUGUAAGAAUAUUUGCCUACAAAUAAUUGUUCGUACAUACAAAGAUAAGUGAUAAAAAAUUUUCUGGGUAGCUAUCUGUGUUAUAUGUCAUAAAUAUGUGUUAUUUGUAUACAUCAUCUAUUUUGGCCACCAGAUAUAUUGUUAUAUUUGAUAGAAUAAAUAUUAUAUUAAUAUUCCUGCUUUAUGAAA